GCAGCUCCCCAGCCCAGGGCCGCGGGCUACAGCCGUUCCUUCUCCCUGCUCCUCUACCCUUGCUUCUUCCACGCCGUGCUGCUUUAGCUCGGGGAUAAAAUCCCGUCGCGCGCAGCCUCUGCUCACCGUGGCUGGUGCGCUCAUUUCCGUCGAGCUCCUUCUCUGCCAUGGCCGCCGUCAGUUCCUCCCUGCCCAGCUCCCAGCACCGCGCUCCCUCAGCUCGCGGAGCUUCUCCUCGCCCCGCUCGGCCUCUGUUUCUCCCUGCUCCCGCACAGCCGCGCGCUCUGCUUACCAUCGCAAGCUCGCCACACCCCUGGACGCCUGCUUCUUGUCUGCUCGGCGCCCCUGCGCUUGCUCGCUUGGAUCUCCCUUGCCAUGGCCGUACGCUGCCGAGCUCCAAGCUCCAACUCGGAUCUUUCUCCCUCGUCUUCCUUCACACGAGCUCGCACCAGCCUCUGCUUCCUGCUCGCCAUGGCGCUUGGCAUCCAGCUUUCUGCGCACCGGCUCCUUGCUCCAGCUCCCACGCGCGUCCGAGCUCGCCCCGGCUCCAGCUUCUCCCAUGGCCGGCGAUACUCCAGUCCUCUGCGCAGCGCGCACGCUUAGCUUGCCUCUCUUGCGCGCAGUCCUCUGUUCCUGCGUGCCACAGUCGCCCAGCUUUGUUGCCGCGCCCAGCCGUUCUCAGCUGCUCACCGUGGCCGGCUCCUGCUUGGCCACCAUCUCCCAUGGCGAUGGCCGCCGAGCUCCCUUGUCGUGGCUGUCACGUCCCUGCGCCCAGCCUUUAGCUCAAUCCGUAUGCACGCGAGCUAACUGGUGUGCUGCUGUUCUAGUUCGGAUCUCGCCCAUGGUGUCGAUCGGCUAUUGGUUUCGCCGGUUGUCGAUUUUCCUAUUCGCUAUGGUCAUCACGUCAGCCGUCCCUAUCCGAACUUGCGAGCUCGCCGACUGACCGUCGUGUUCCUUGAAAUCUCUCGUCGGUCGACCUCGCGACUUAGUUCGUCCGUCGUGCUGGUCGCUGUCCCAUACUGUACCUAUUAGCUCGGAUCCUGCCCAGCUCGUCGUCGUAUCGUUUACCGUCGAGUCGUCGAACCCGUCAUCCUCUGCUCAAACCCCACCUCACCAGCUCGCUUCAAACACGAUCUCGUCGUCAAGCUUUGCCUCAGCCUUAGCUCGUCGGUCACGCUCGCCAGAUGUCCGAUCGAAGAUUUUAUUCGGAGACUGUUGACACUCUCGCAAGCUUUAAGUCGGAAUUAAUGGACGGUACGAUAAUUGAUCGCGUGAUGCGGAAGACGAGCCAAGUCGACCCCAAACACGGGCUAAUCCACAAGAUGGUACUGAUGAACGAAACUGAAGAUGGACAGACGGAGCAAGUAUCAGAACAAAAGAUGAUCGUCAAGUGGACGUCGUCUAACAAACACUAACUUAGUGUUUAUCCCAGGCAAGCCCCGGUGCAUGCAACCCCUUUCCUUGUGUUUUUAAAUACUUUUCGCACACUUAAGUCUAGUGAAAUGAGCAUUAGGUUCAUAGGAGUUGCUUGGAACCCUUUGAUGCAUUGCUUUCCUUGAUAUUUAUACCUUUAUAGAUACUUCUGUGAAGUAUCAAAAUAUGAUUUACAAAAAUGCUUAGCCUUGCUUAGAUCUUGUGGAUAGAGGUUGUCCUCAGUCUAACCCGGGAGAGGAUGGCUUCUACCUGCAAGAAUAUUUUCAUUUGGAGCAAUAGUGGGAUCUUACUGCAAAGUUCCCUGUGAUGCUCUUUCAUCCUAAGGAACAGACACAAUCCUAAGGAUGGAAAUACUUAAAUUGAGACUUGGGUUAGGAACAGGUGAUGUUCUACCCAGGUUGGUUAAGGAUUAAUGCGUAUGUAGGCGUGCUGACCGAGGACCCUUUAACUGGUCACAUGCCUCGUCAUGGGUAAGCCUUGCCUCGGGCAGACUAAGGCCAGAAUAAGAUAACACGAAAUGAGCGUGGAGCGGUGGCGAGAGUAGCGUGUACCCUCCGUGGCAAGAGGCUGGAUGGUGGUGUAUCUGUGCUCUCGGUUUGCGUGAACCUGAUCUGGUCUUAAGAACCCCGGUGGCGGGUUGACAUAUGCAAGGGUUAAGUGCUACAUAUGUCGUGUGAUUGGAGAUCCUCAGCUGAGUAUAAUCGAUUCGGAUCGCCGUACCUUCGCGGUUAUGAAGACUUGGUCACUUUUCUACAACCUAAAGUCAGGAUGUGAACACUAUGGAUAAAAAUGAUGUUGUAUUGAUGAGAUGUUGAAAUUAGACUAGAUGCAAAUAGAGUCUAUUAAUACUUAAUAUGGCGUUAAAAGAUUGAAAGUAAGGACUCACUUUAGUAAGCUACUUCUGCAAAAAUAUAAGUUGAUUUUUGCUAAAGCCUCUCCUUGACUCCUAUUUAUCCAGCAUACCCUUGAGAGUCUUUUUCUUAGUCGGGUAAGACUUGCUGAGUAAUUCCAUACUCAGGGUUUUAUUCCCUGUUGUUUUUCAGGUUCUAACUUUGUGCUGUUGUUGAUGGUGUUAAGUGCCGGUGGGCUCGGCCUUCUUAUAAGUCUAAGUAACCCUUCUAUACUUCUUAUUGAGGAUGAUCCCUUGAGCUAGCAUAUAUUUCAAACUUAUACUUUUGUAAUCACUCCGAUAAAAUAAUAUAAAAAUUUUGUAACUUGUAAAAUUUGGUAAUAGUAUUUCCGCUGCAAAAAUAUUGUGUGUGUGAUUUGUGUUACUUAAUCCCGCGGUUCUGGUUGUAAGUGGUUUAUCCGAUGUCCUUGGGGCAAUCGGACAGAUCCUGUUAAGUUAUAUGGUGCACAUGCAUAGCCGUCUGAGGUCUUUGGGACAAGGACAAGUGCAUGUGGGCCCAAUAACUUGGAGGUUCUGCCACAGCUGGUAUCGGAGCUGGAUUAAGUAUAUACAGUCACAUACAUAUUUUCAAAACAAUAGUUUUGGUUUCGAAAAACCUAUUUUCAACUAAACAUAUUGUUUGGCUUUGAAAAAUAGUUUUGAAAAACUAUAAUGCUAGCGACAUCCUCUGUUAAGCCCUAAACUAAGGACUAUUAGGUGGCUUAGUUGAAAACCACUAACCCACAACCGGGUGGGUAUUGCAUACAUGUGUAUUGUUAUUUUUGAAAACCAUUCCGUUUGGAAUGGAUCGACGCCCAAGGUAAGGUGAGUUGUGAGAGCAUGACCGAACAACCGUCGGUCUAGGGGAAUGCUUAAUUGUGGCGCUUGAUUAUAUACAUGUUCUAUAUUUGUAUAUAUGAAAGCUGCGAUGUGGAGUAAUUACUUUUCUGGGAAUUCAGUACCCCAUGGAUGUGUAUGGGCAUACAGACAUGGGAAUACUGAGAAGUGUAAUGUACUUGUAACGACGCACCUACGCUCAGGUAAGAAGGUGAGUUACCAUAAUGAGUUGCCCUAUGGUUAAAGUGUGGCAACGGCGCCUAUGCGUGGCUCGGCGCUUAAUGAUGAGCUGGCCUCCAUAUAGCAAUAUAUGGAGUAUAAACUGUGAUAAACUGUCAUGUGUGACUUGCAUCAUUGGGAAAUGGGCUGUGAUGGAUUUUUCUGCAGGUACACUAACCUCGAAAACGUAUGUGUAGCUGACGACUAGCAAAAUACCGUGAGAGUCGUUAGUAUGCCACCGAUAUAGAACGUUAUUGCCACAGUGUGUUGGCAAAAACUCGUGAGGACGUAUAGGACGAGCAUGCAUCCUGGUUGUUGCAUCAUGUUUGUUACCUAUACAUCCAAAAUGCUUAUCUCAUCUUUAUUCCAGCAACCAUUGAUUGUAGAUAAUGUAGUGUAAUGCAGUAUUAUGGACUUCGAUAAAAUAGAUGUCCUCCGUUCUUUAGAUAAUCUAUUUAGUGUCAUAUGUGUUUUCCCUUGUACUGGAUGUGCCGAUAGAAGGUUGUGACCUAUUUGUUUAAACCAAAAAUUAGGCCAUGUUCUUAUUUAGUGAACCAUGCCCCAAAUUUGAAUGGUCCAUUAUCACUCCAUGACAAAGCCCAUACAAAUAAAUGCGUAGAUAAUUUCUUUGUUGGACAUAAAUUGUGCCUAGGCUUAAACAAGAAUCUCGAGUCAUGUUUCCUUCUAAAACCAUUCCCUUGUUUAUUGGUGCAAGCUGAUGUACCUUAACCAGUUCGCCUGUUCUUAAGGAUCGCCAUGUUGAAUUAUCAACCCAACCUAGGAAAAGUAUGUCCGACCAUUUUCUUGAAUUUGAUGCCUUUGAUUUCCCCCAUACCUAUCGAAGGCAUACCAACUUAAUCUUAUGAUUGUUUCCCCUCUGUAUCUAAUCAGAUACUAAUCCUUGACCCUUGUACUCUCUGUGAUGGGCAUAGAGAUAUGCUUGGGGCUGAACUUACAGUCUCCCAUCGUACUCCCUCACCACACAGUUUAGGUUAUGGCCAUACCUUGUUCAUUUCAUCAGGCCAUGAUCUAUUUGGCUCUCUAUUUGUAAUCAUUCUUACAGGUGGAGUAUCCCUUUGUAUAUUGUCACCCUUGCCCAAUCCAUUGGUGUGGCGCGAUAUUUCUUAUUGGUUACGUCUGGUAAUGGUGUUAUGACUAAAACCGAUGGUGCCGUGACGAAAUCGAGGGCCUCCUGUGGAUGCAUACACAUGGUUGCGCUACUUGGCACGCGCUGGUAUCACAGUUAGUAGUCAUAAUCCAUUAUGAGACUAUAUCGAUAUGUUAUAUUUGCACAAUCUGUUUUUACCACGUGAGAUUCAUUAUUGGUGCCAGUUUUGUAAUGGUGUCAUGAUUAAGGACUUAUGGUGCCGCAGCGAAACUGAGAGCCCCUUGUGAAUGUACACGCAAGGUUAUGCUGCUUGGCGCAUGCUGGUAUCGAGGUCUCUAGUCAUGAUCCAGUGUGGAACUACACUAAUAUAUUAUCUUCCGUAGAUCUCUUCCCUUGAAACGAUUUCGGUGUUGUUUGUCAAGUGAUCAAGCAACAUCUAUCAUCUCUAUUGGAUCAAAAGGGCAUACCACUUCCAUGUGUGGUCUCUUUUUCCUUGACUUUGGUAGUGACUGCACACAUACAUGUCCCCUUUGCAUCCUUUGUGUAAAGGUGAAGCCUUGGAGCUUUUUAGUGUUGAAAAACCACUGAUUAGCUCUCAAAAUAGAGAUUGACUUUCCCUGCUGCUGUGAUGCAGGAGUUGUUCAUUUGCUCCCCUAUUUAAUCCAUGUAUUUCCGAACCCUGUCCGUUCAUCUCGCAUGAAGAAACGGAUGAACAACUUAACCAAAUAGAUUUCUACCCAAAUACAUAAUCUCUUGUUAAUAUGAGUGAGCUCUCGACCGUUGGCUUACCGAUGGUACUGAGGGGACUUGCUCAAUGUCAAAAGUAGUUCAACAAGUUGGUUUUACUAACUUGUAACUGCAUUGUAAACAAAAGUUGAGUUAGACAUCAUUUUAUCGAGUUGUCUAAACUCACUUUAGUUCAACCCAUCCUAAGAAAGUACUUAUGAAAAUCGAGAUUAGGUCAACUAAUAACCACCUAGCCAUCGCUCAAGUCAUGUCUCGAUCGCCUCACGUGUGCUUUUCUAGCAUGUGUGAUCACAGUCGAGCCAUGGUUAAUGCUCGAUAAAAUGGGUUGGUUGCGAAUGUAGCAACUACAGAUCCCUCCGCUGGUAAUUCACUCGAAUCUAUACCCUCAUUCGUGGACUUGAAUUCUCGGUUUAGCCACAUGUUAACCGCGAUAGUAUUCAACAUCCCCACUUGUCUCGUGUGCUAUGAGCUUAUCGUGACCACUUGUUGGUAAACCUCUUUUUGGGGGUUUUACCCAAGAUGGUGCAUCUGAUUCUGCUUGGAUAAAAUCGCGUAUUUACCGCUCGCCCAAUAGACUCAGAUAGUGCAGUGUCAUCAGAAAAAGUAAACUGCACACAUGGAACCUUAUGUGUUCCUCUGGCAGGCAACGUCUCUAUUUGUGGGUAUUUCUAAAUUGGCUUAAGUCGAUACAUGAUAUGUCCACUAGAGAAACCAUAUCCGGAGACAUUCGUCUUUACUUGGAUUGUCUUAUGAUUAAUGCUGAUAUGGACAUGAGUUACAUGCUUCUCUACUCUUAGAAGUCUUUCGCUCCGAAUCUCGGGACGAGAUUCUUUUAAGGGGGGAGGGCUGUAACACCCCUGGUGUUUAUAUUCUGCUCGACAACGAGUACGUAUUUAAGCACGUAAUCAAUGAUAAAACGGAUUUUAAAUUUUAAACAUCUUCGUCUAUCGCGAUUUUUAUAUCGCAUCGGUGUCGUCUGUCGCGAGCGCGACAUCGUUUUUAUUUCUAUCUAUCCGGGCUCUUCCUAAAUUUUCGUGAUGUUCGGAACAUAUUUGUUCUGAAAAUCGGUGCGUCCGAUGAUUAUUUAAAAUUCAUCGCUCGCGUGAAUACGAAUUUGAAAGCUCGACCCACUCGGGUGAUUUUUAUCCCGGGUAAAUUAAUUUAAAUUCGAUGACAAAAGUGUUAAUGCAAAAUUAAAUCGGACCACACCCGGAAUCCAAGAAAAACCAGGCGUAGAAUUAUAAUUGAGCUUCGAUUCACUGGCUGUGGAACCAGAUGUUCAGAUCGCAGUUAAAUUUAUCAGAUUUUUGAAUCGAAUCAACUGUCACAAUUACCGUCGACUCUUUUGCUAUCGCUAGAAAUUCUGGGUUCUAAAAAUAUCUACGAAUUUCUAAAAAAAGAAAAGAAAUAAAAAAAACUGAAAAUAUCCUCUCGAGUCUAUCCCUUCCACCGCUCACGUUCUCGGAUUUUCUUUCACUGUGUUGACCGUCGGCCUCAUCCCUGGCCGUUCUUAUCUGCCGCCUCUGGGAUUCUUCAAAUAGCUCGCCGUACUCUGGUUCCGGCCUGCAGAUCCCCAGCCCAGGGCCGCGGGCUACAGCCGUUCCUUCUCCCUGCUCCUCUACCCUUGCUUCUUCCACGCCGUGCUGCUUUAGCUCGGGGAUAAAAUCCCGUCGCGCGCAGCCUCUGCUCACCGUGGCUGGUGCGCUCAUUUCCGUCGAGCUCCUUCUCUGCCAUGGCCGCCGUCAGUUCCUCCCUGCCCAGCUCCCAGCACCGCGCUCCCUCAGCUCGCGGAGCUUCUCCUCGCCCCGCUCGGCCUCUGUUUCUCCCUGCUCCCGCACAGCCGCGCGCUCUGCUUACCAUCGCAAGCUCGCCACACCCCUGGACGCCUGCUUCUUGUCUGCUCGGCGCCCCUGCGCUUGCUCGCUUGGAUCUCCCUUGCCAUGGCCGUACGCUGCCGAGCUCCAAGCUCCAACUCGGAUCUUUCUCCCUCGUCUUCCUUCACACGAGCUCGCACCAGCCUCUGCUUCCUGCUCGCCAUGGCGCUUGGCAUCCAGCUUUCUGCGCACCGGCUCCUUGCUCCAGCUCCCACGCGCGUCCGAGCUCGCCCCGGCUCCAGCUUCUCCCAUGGCCGGCGAUACUCCAGUCCUCUGCGCAGCGCGCACGCUUAGCUUGCCUCUCUUGCGCGCAGUCCUCUGUUCCUGCGUGCCACAGUCGCCCAGCUUUGUUGCCGCGCCCAGCCGUUCUCAGCUGCUCACCGUGGCCGGCUCCUGCUUGGCCACCAUCUCCCAUGGCGAUGGCCGCCGAGCUCCCUUGUCGUGGCUGUCGCGUCCCUGCGCCCAGCCUUUAGCUCAAUCCGUAUGCACGCGAGCUAACUGGUGUGCUGCUGUUCUAGUUCGGAUCUCGCCCAUGGUGUCGAUCGGCUAUUGGUUUCGCCGGUUGUCGAUUUUCCUAUUCGCUAUGGUCAUCAUGUCAGCCGUCCCUAUCCGAACUUGCGAGCUCGCCGACUGACCGUCUUGAAAUCCCUCGUCGGUCGACCUCGCGACUUAGUUCGUCCGUCGUGCUGGUCGCUGUCCCAUACUGUACCUAUUAGCUCGGAUCCUGCCCAGCUCGUCGUCGUAUCGUUUACCGUCGAGUCGUCGAACCCGUCAUCCUCUGCUCAAACCCCACCUCACCAGCUCGCUUCAAACACGAUCUCGUCGUCAAGCUUUGCCUCAGCCUUAGCUCGUCGGUCACGCUCGCCAGAUGUCCGAUCGAAGAUUUUAUUCGGAGACUGUUGACACUCUCGCAAGCUUUAAGUCGGAAUUAAUGGACGGUACGAUAAUUGAUCGCGUGAUGCGGAAGACGAGCCAAGUCGACCCCAAGCACGGGCUAAUCCACAAGAUGGUACUGAUGAACGAAACUGAAGAUGGACAGACGGAGCAAGUAUCAGAACAAAAGAUGAUCAUCAAGUGGACGUCGUCUAACAAACACUAACUUAGUGUUUAUCCCAGGCAAGCCCCGGUGCAUGCAACCCCUUUCCUUGUGUUUUUAAAUACUUUUCGCACACUUAAGUCUAGUGAAAUGAGCAUUAGGUUCAUAGGAGUUGCUUGGAACCCUUUGAUGCAUUGCUUUCCUUGAUAUUCAUACCUUUAUAGAUACUUCUGUGAAGUAUCAAAAUAUGAUUUACAAAAAUGCUUAGCCUUGCUUAGAUCUUGUGGAUAGAGGUUGUCCUCAGUCUAACCCGGGAGAGGAUGGCUUCUACCUGCAAGAAUAUUUUCAUUUGGAGCAAUAGUGGGAUCUUACUGCAAAGUUCCCUGUGAUGCUCUUUCAUCCUAAGGAACAGACACAAUCCUAAGGAUGGAAAUACUUAAAUUGAGACUUGGGUUAGGAAUAGGUGAUGUUCUACCCAGGUUGGUUAAGGAUUAAUGCGUAUGUAGGCGUGCUGACCGAGGACCCUUUAACUGGUCACAUGCCUCGUCAUGGGUAAGCCUUGCCUCGGGCAGACUAAGGCCAGAAUAAGAUAACACGAAAUGGGCGUGGAGCGGUGGCGAGAGUAGCGUGUACCCUCCGUGGCAAGAGGCUGGAUGGUGGUGUAUCUGUGCUCUCGGUUUGCGUGAACCUGAUCUGGUCUUAAGAACCCCGGUGGCGGGUUGACAUAUGCAAGGGUUAAGUGCUACAUAUGUCGUGUGAUUGGAGAUCCUCAGCUGAGUAUAAUCGAUUCGG